rnacentral:rRNA from 1 species
AUUGAACGCUGGCGGCAUGCUUUACACAUGCAAGUCGAACGGCAGCGCGGGGCAACCUGGCGGCGAGUGGCGAACGGGUGAGUAAUAUAUCGGAACGUACCCAGAAGUGGGGGAUAACGUAGCGAAAGUUACGCUAAUACCGCAUACGAUCUACGGAUGAAAGUAGGGGACCGCAAGGCCUUAUGCUUUUGGAGCGGCCGAUAUCUGAUUAGCUAGUUGGUGAGGUAAAGGCUCACCAAGGCGACGAUCAGUAGCUGGUCUGAGAGGACGACCAGCCACAAGGGAACGGGAAAAGGGUCAAAAACCUAAGGGGAGGCAGCAGGGGGGAAUUUGGGAAAAGGGGGGAAAGCCUGAUCCAGAAAGGCGGGGUGGGUGAAGAAGGCCUUCGGGUUGUAAAGCGCUUUUGUAAGGGAAAAAACGGUAGAGGAUAAUAUCCUUUGAUAAUGACGGAACCGGAAAAAUAAGCACGGGUUAACUACGU